UACAGAGGGUGCUAGCGUUGUUCGGAAUCAUUGGGCGUAAAGCGCGUGUAGGCGGUCCGGUAAGUCCGCUGUGAAAGUCGAGGGCUCAACCCUCGAAUGCCGGUGGAUACUGUCGGGCUUGAGUACGGGAGAGGCGAGUGGAAUUCCUGGUGUAGCGGUGAAAUGCGCAGAUAUCAGGAGGAACACCGAUUGCGAAGGCAGCUCGCUGGAACGUUACUGACGCUGAGACGCGAAAGCGUGGGGAGCAAACAGG
rnacentral:rRNA from 1 species